rnacentral:lncRNA from 1 species
CUUGGCAUUCCCAGGGUGAAAGCUCACAGAAAAGCUGCUGCUGAAACCAUGGCCUGGCCGGGUGGGUGGCCUCUGAGUUGGCUGUGGCAAUGGACAGCCCUCCUGUGAGCUCAGUAUGACCUGGGACCAUUUUCUUCUACAUCCACCUGUGGCUAACGCAUCACCAAAACCUGAGGACCCCACCCAAAGGUGUCCUGAGCCCCUCUAUCCUUCUGGCUGGACAACUGCCCCAGCUGGGAGGUGCUGCUCCAGACCUGGUUGACUGACCCCUCUGGGUCUCAUGGCUUCCACUUCAGUCCACUAUCCAGGCUAAUCUUUAACCCACCCUGCUCCUGGGUGUGCAGAGGCUCUUCAAGGGGACAGAUGGGAGCCAGUGUGGGCUGAGGCUUCCUCCAGGUCUUCUGGGCCUGGCCCCAGUGUCUCAGGAGAGCUGCACUGGGGUCCAGGUGGCUGGGGCUGCGGCUGUCUUGCCAGCCUCAUAGGCCAUGUGAGAAUCUGACUGCUACUCUGAAGGGGGAGCCAUGCAGGGACAGAGGAAGGCUGGCUCUCAUCCUACAGCUCACUCUGGCUGUGAGGCAUGAAGAGUCAUGGGAACUGAAGACCUUUGCUCUGGCAGGCAGUGAGUGCUCAGAAAUGUUUGCCACGGUGGUCAUGGCCGCUUUGUGUGAGAAGGCUGAGGCAUGUCCUGGCACCCUGGGCCGAGGGACAGCAGGCAGGGUGCCCUGAGGGAGAAGAGCCCUUUCCUGCCAGGGGGUCUGUGCUAAGAGAGGGAUGCCCAUUAACGGAGCCCGAGCAGGCACCUCACCAGGAGGAUCUCCAGGCAGGAGGCUGCAGCCCCAAGAUGUCACUGCUCUCUAGGUCUCUGAGCCUGAGAGUCAGCACACUCAGCACACCCGGCCACCUGCUGUCCUCAGGAAACCCCUGCCCGAGGAUGAUGCAUUGGCCUAGCACACCCUCGGCACUCCUCCCCAUCUCUCGGGGACUCUGGUCCCCUUCCUGAUGAAGCAGCUGGAGCUACCGCCCCCUCACCCACACCCUUCCAACUCGCUCAGUCCCAGCCCCCUCAGGAGAAGAGACACAGAGGUCCUGACAGUGAGCCCAGAGUGAGGAGCAAGGAAGGGAGGGCAGAUAAGGCAGGGAACCCAGCUGUGAGCAGGGAUAUUGAGCACGGGAUGAGGGCUCACAGGGAGACACUGAGCCUCCGCGGGGCCACUGCCCAUGAAUGGGCACCAUGUCGGACUGGGAGCACAGGAGGCCAGGCUGGGGGAGGCCCUUGCUCAGGCCUGGGCACACCCACUCGGGUUGGUGGGGUGGCAGCCAGGCUUUCCGUCCCAGUGUGAAGCAGGGUCUGGUUUCAGGCUCCUGGGCUGAUCCAGUGCUGAACAAUAAAUCAGACCAACAGAUACUGGGUUCAGGCAUAAAGAUAUGAUGUGAACUGGCCUCCUCCCCCAGCUCCAGUGGAGCCCAUGGCCAAGCUGACACUGGAGGCUGAGCCAAGGUGGGGCCUAGGUGGUAGGCACAGGGGGUGAGAGUCACAGGUGCCUGAGCUGCCGAGGGAGCUGGAGAACACCUCCCCAGCCUUUUGUUCCCCAAGGUCACGCGGGCAGCAAGAACAGGGCAGGACAUGCUUAGGGCUCUCUGAGACUCCAGACUCAGUGCUCUGAGCUGGUCUGUCUUCCUUUGAGAGGGGCAUGGCUCUGUUGGGGGAGGGGGCUGAGUCAGGGUCUGCUCUGAGGCACCCAGGCAGCAGCUCUGGAAAUGUCACCCUUGGAGCACAGACCACCUCUGAGAGUCUAAAUUGGGAAAACAAUAUGUGGUUUCAAUAGAUCAUCAGGACGAUCUUUGUAAACAAUCACAAAGCUAAUACUGCAUAAACAGAAAGACAUUCUAAAAAGAGGCUUGGGAGGCCCCUGGGAUGGGAGCCUUAGUUGUGUGGCUGAGUCUUUGCCUCUGUGGGUCUUGUCUCUUCCGUGUGUAGGGCUGGCUGAGCCCCAAGGACAGCUGAGUGUACUUUGGAGACAGCCAACAGCUAUUAGCCCUGAGAAAAUUCUAACAGUUGCUUCUUGGAGUAUCUUCUGCAGGAGGGGCCAGUGGGCAGGUGGUCAAGAGUGGCUGUUUUCCCAGUAAGUGAGGUGCAGAGGGGGCAGGGGUGAAGGGGCUAUGGAUGCCUCACUGGCCAUUUCUGGGCUGGUUCUGCAAGGCCUUCACCAUCACCUGAGCUCAUCUGCUCCUCUGAUGCCUGUGGGUGAAGUAAGUGUGUCUGCUUCUGCUCCUGGCUCCCUGUCCUGGAUCCUUAGAACUAGAAGGCAGCACCCUCCUAGUGUGAUUUCAUCAAGGCUUAUAUAAAGUGCUGCCCUAGGGAAGGAAGGAGGCUCCCACUCUGACAGCUGGAUAGAAGCCUCUAGCAGGGUGCUUGGUGCCAGGCACAAGCUGCCUACAUAGGUGAGGAAGGUCCUGGCCUGAGAAGCUCCCAUCCUGACAACAAACCUAUGUGAGCUCAGAAGGAUCCAGUCGCUGACCUGACCAUCUUGCCCCUGCCAUGAACAGUAAUCUGGAUGGCUCACAAGCCCAGAUGUCUGCUGGAAACCUCAUUCCUUGGCCAGUGUAGUACUGAGGCUCAGAGGAGCCCAGGAGGAUCUGGGCCACCUCCGAUUCUGUGUUAGCAGCCCUUAAUCAUGGUCUUGGCAUAUGACACAGGCACAGCUGGUUCAGAGUGGAACACUCACAGCUGAGCCCUGCUGCCCUCUGUCAUUCCAGCAGCAACCCCACAGAUGUGCUGCAGAGGAGUGGGGGCACAGUGGAUCCCAUUGCAUAGGAUCCACAAGCCUCCUAAAAUUGUAUCCAACAGAAACUGUCCAUUAUGUUUGGAUAUAUAUGUCUUUAUCUAGCUUUCAUCAAUCCUUUUUUUCCCCCUGCUUUUUAUGGCUGCUCUAGUAGCAUAUGGAAAUUCCCAGGCUAGGGGUCAAAACUGAGCUACAGCUGCCAGCCUAUACCACAUCCACAGCAACAUGGGAUCCUAGCCAUGUCUGCGACCUACACCACAGCUCACAGCAACACUGCAUCCCUACCUCACUGAGCAAAGCCAGGGAUCAAACCUGCAUCCUCAGAUUUGUUUCUGCUGUACCGCAAGAGAAACUCCCUAACUUUCAUCAAUUCUCAAAGAAGCUCAUGACUCAAACAAGGUCAGAACUGGAGUCUAGGACACAGAGGGUUCCAGAAAUCCUGGCCCUGCACAGGCUGUAAGCACAUGUUACAGGUGGAGUUGAGUAGAGGGCAUGGGGGCAGGAAGGAAGAGAUGUCACUUUCCUCUGUGGAUAAGACAGAUCUCUCAAUCUUUCAAAAUCUUAGAGAUAAAAUCUUUUAUUGUAUAAUUUUGAAAUUACACAACUUGGAAACUUAAGAAUUUGUCAAUUUAGAAACGUUUUGAUAAUAUGGUUGGCUGGGUACCUAGAUCAGGUCUUCCACUGAAAACAACUCAAAACCUGGACAAAAUAUAAAAAUAAUCAUCUAAACUGUGUGAAAGAGUUUAGCCCACAAAACAAAAAUCUCAAGUCAAAACAUUUAGGCAAUAUGGAAAUCUAGAAAGACAAGCCAAGAUCCACUGCCAUUAUUUGGGCCAAGGGAAUUUGCCAAACAAGGUUAACUUGAACUUUGAGUUUUACAACUUCCUGGUGAGCAGUGGAUGGAAGUCAAAGCCCACAACUGGCUUGGAUUUCUACAGGAGGUCUCCAUAAAGAUGAGAUCCUAAUGAGCUAUAUACUCCCAAGUCAGGAAUGUUAGACUGUUAAAGCAAACUGACUCAUCUAGGAAGAACUUUUCUCCAAAUAGAGUCAAUUGCCUAGUUUAAUACAACCAUCUGCAUGCUCAGAUAUCUCUUUUUUAAAAAAAAUUAAACAGCUUUAUUGAGAUAAAAUUGAUGUACAGUAAACUGCAUAUACUUAAUGUGUACAAUUUGAUGUUUUGAUAGAUGUGUACAUUCAUGACACUAUCAUCACAGUCAAGAUAAUGGACUCAUCCAUUGGUGCUUCCCUCCCUCCAGCCCCUGCCUCAUAUUGCAUCUAAGAAACCACUGCCUAAUCCAAGAACAUGAAAAAUCAUGAUCAGGUUUCUAAGAUCUUAAUAGUUAUCUUUUACAUUUAGAUCUUUGAUCCCCUUUGAAUUCACUUGUACACAUGGUGUGAAGUAGGGUUCCAUCUUCAUUUGCCUGCAUGGGGAUAUCCUUUUCUACCAGUGUCAUUGUUGAACACUAAUCUUGCCCUAUUGAAUUGACUUAGCACCUCUGUCAAGAUAUCUAUCAAUCAUCAGUACAAUAAAAGGAUAUUGCACUUGUCAACAUAUAUUCACUUAAUAUAUAAGCACCUAAAUACAUAAAACAAAUACUAACAUACAUAAAGGGAGAAACUGAUGGGGAUACAAUAACAAUAGACUUUAAUACCCCACUCACAUCCAUGGACAUAAAAUCAAUAAGGCAACGGAGAUAUUAAAUGAUGCAAUUGAACAAUUAGACUUAUUUAUAGUUUCAGGUCAUUACAUCCAAAAAAAAACCCAGAAUAUACCUUCUUUUCAAGGGCAUGUGGAACAUUCUCUAGGACUGACCACAUACUAGGGCACAAAACAAAUUUUAACAAAUUUAAGAGGAUAGAAAUUAUUUCAAGCAUCUUUUCUGAUCAUGAUGGCAUGAAACUAGAAAUCAACCACAGAAAUAGAAAUGACAAAAAACUGACUACAUGGAAACUAAACAGCAUCCUACUAAAAAGCCAAUGAGCCAAUGAUGAAAUCAAAGAGGAAAUUUAAAAAUAUCUUGAGACAAAUGACAAUGAAAACACAACCAUAAAUGUCCCUCAACAGAUGAUUGGAUUAGGAAGAUGUGGUAUAUAUACACAAUGGAAUACUACUCAGCCAUAAAAAAGAACAAAAUAAUGCCAUUUGCAGUAACAUGGAUGGAACUAGAGAAUCUCAUACUGAGUGCAAUGAGCCAGAAAGACAAAGACAAAUACCAUAUGAUAUCACUUAUAACUGGAAUCUAAUAUCCAGCACAAAUGAACAUCUCCUCAGAAAAGAAAAUCAUGGACUUGGAGAAGAGACUUGUGGCUGCCUGAUGGGAGGGGGAGGGAGUGGGAGGGAUCAGGAGCUUGGGCUUAUCAGACACAACUUAGAAUAGAUUUACAAGGAGAUCCUGCUGAGUAGCAUUGAGAACUUUGUCUAGAUACUCAUGUUGCAACAGAACAAAGGGUGGGGAAAAAAAUGUAAUUGUAAUGUAUACAUGUAAGGAAACUUGAUCCCCUUGCUGUACAGUG